rnacentral:rRNA from 1 species
AUUGAACGCUAGCGGGAUGCUUUACACAUGCAAGUCGAACGAGUGGCGGACGGGUGAGUAAUAUAUCGGAACGUGCGCAGUAGCGGGGGAUAACUAGUAGAAAGAGUGGCUAAUACCGCAUAAUGUUGGUGCGGCCGUUAUCGGAUUAGCUAGUUGGGGGGGUAAAGGCUCACCAAGGCAACGAUCCGUAGCUGGUUUGAGAGGCAGACCAGCCACACUGGGACUGAGACACGGCCCAGACUCCUACGGGAGGCAGCAGUGGGGAAUUUUGGACAAUGGUGGAAACCCUGAUCCAGCCAUCCCGCGUGUAUGAGAAGGCCUUCGGAUUGUAAAGUACUUUUGUCAGAGAAGCCCUCUCUGCCCCUUAAGCACCGGCUAACUACGUGCCAGCAGCCGCGGUAAUUC